rnacentral:rRNA from 1 species
CCUACGGGAGGCAGCAGUGAGGAAUAUUGGUCAAUGGGCUUACGCCUGAACCAGCCAAGUCGCGUGAGGGAAGACUGCCCUAUGGGUUGUAAACCUCUUUUGUCAGGGAGCAAGUGGCGCUACGUGUAGCGUUAUCGAGAGGACCUGAAGAAAAAGCAGCGGCGAACUCCGUGCCAGCAGCCGCGGUAAUACGGAGGAUGCGAGCGUUAUCCGGAUUUAUUGGGUUUAAAGGGUGCGUAGGCGGAAUGCCAAGUCAGCGGUAAAAUCGCGGGGCUCAACCUCGCUCCGCCGUUGAAACUGGCGUUCUUGAGUGGGCGAGAAGUAUGCGGAAUGCGUGUUGUAGCGGUGAAAUGCAUAGCUAUCACGCAGAACUCCGAUUGCGAAGGCAGCAUACCGGCGCCCAACUGACGCU